rnacentral:rRNA from 1 species
UACGAAGGGGGCAAGCGUUGUCCGGAAUCAUUGGGCGUAAAGAGCGUGUAGGCGGUCCGGUCAGUCGGUUGUGAAAGUCAAGGGCUCAACCCUUGAAUGCCGGCCGAUACUGCCGGGCUAGAGUCCGGAAGAGGUGAGUGGAACUCCUGGUGUAGCGGUGAAAUGCGCAGAUAUCAGGAAGAACACCAAUGGCGAAGGCAGCUCACUGGGACGGUACUGACGCUGAGACGCGAAAGCGUGGGGAGCGAACAGG